rnacentral:rRNA from 1 species
AGCGAACGCUGGCGGCAUGCUUAACACAUGCCAGUCGAACGGGCACUUCGGUGCUAUUGUCAUACGAGUUAGUAACACGUGGGAACGUACCUUUCGGGUCGGAAUAAUCCAAGGAAACUUGUACUAAUACCGGAUAGGCCCUUCGGGGGAAAGAUUCAUCGCCGAUAGAUCGUCCCGCGUCUGAUUCGCUAUUUGGUGUGGUAAUGGCUCACCAAGGCGACGAUCAGUAGAUGGUCUGAGAGGAUGAUCAGCCACAUUGGGACUGAGAAGCGGCCCAAAAUCCUACGGGAGGCAGGAGUGGGGGACAUUGGAACAUCGGGGCAAGGAUGAUCCAGCCAUGCCGGGUGAGUGAUGAAGGCCUUAGGGUUGUAAAGCGCUUUUGUCCGGGAAGAUAAUGACUGUACCGGAAGAAUAAGCCCCGGCUAACUUCGUG